ACCCUAUGUCAAGUCGAAUUACUUACAGAGUUUAAGCAUAUCAAUAAGUUGAGGAAAAAAAACUUACCAAAAUUUCCUUAAGUAAUGGUGAGUGAACCGAAAAGAGCCCAGCUUGAGAAUCAAGUAACCCCAGCAUCCAAAUUAUAGUCUAGAGAAAUGUCCUCAGUGGUGAAUCGAGCCCAAGUCCCAUGGAAAGGGGCACCACAAGAGGUGAGAGCCCCAUUAUGACUAGACCCUAUUACACCAUAAGGCACUAUCUACAAGUCAAGUUCUUUGGGAAUAUAGCCCUAAUAGGGCAAUAAAUUUCAUGCAAGGCUGAAUACGGGUGAAAAACUAAUAGCGAACAAGUAUUGUAAGGAAAAGAUGAAAAGGGUUUUGAAAAUAGAGUCAAAAAGUGCAAGAAAUUAUCGAGAGGGAGGCAAAUGGUGGUGAGCGUUGCAUCCUAAUUAGAUGUGGAAUGAUUAAAGCCAAUUCGUUGAUCGGCUCAAGGAGAGGAUAGAAAUAAGUUGCAAUGGCAUCCCAAGCUUAAGCUUUUGAUAUGCCCAUGAGGAUGUCAUUGCUAUGAUCAUGGAAUAUAGCAUGCGUCAUCUCGAUGUGUCUUAACACUAAUGUGCUCUCAGUGUUAGCCUACGAGCUCUCCAUUCAACUUGUCUUAAAAUGUAGACCAAUCAAUUUAACAUGUGUGCAAGUCAUUAGGCUAGAAAACCUGCAAGGUAUAAAGAAGCUAAUUGGUAGGAUUCCUUGCAGAUGCACCAGGAACUAAGCUUGAUCUUUUGAGAAGGGUUUGAAUGUGAGCAUGCCUAUUGAGACCUGAAAGAUGGUGAACUAUUCAUGAAUGGGGCAAAACUAGAGGAAACUUUGGUGAAUGCCCAUAUCUAUACUAAAAUGUAAAUUGUUCAUCUGACUCAGAUAUAGGGGUUAAUGACUAAUCAAACCAUCUAGUAGCUAGUUCUUUUCAAAGUUUCCCUCAAGAUAGUUAGAGCCUUUUACGAGUUCUAUCAGGUAAAGCCAAUGAUUAGAGGCAUCAAGGGUGCAACACCCUUAACCAAUUCUCAAACUUUAAAUAGGUGGGAUAGCAUGACUACUUUGUUAACCUAUACCACAAAAUUGAGAGCUCUAAGUGGGCCAUUUUUGGUAAGCCAAAUUGGUAAUACGAGAUGAACUAGAAGCUGAGUUAUGGUGACCAACUGCAUGCUAACCUAGAACCUACAAAGGGUGUUGGUCAAUUACGAUAGUAGGACGAUGGUCAUGGAACUCACUUGCCAAAUCAAACUAGCCUAAAAAAUGGAUGGUGUUUAAAUGCAUGACCUAUACCCAAUCGUUGAGGCAAGGGCUAGACCCCAAUGAGUAAGAGGGCACGAUGGUCACUACAAAACCCAAGGUAUGAGCCCGGGCAAAGUGGCUGUCAGUGCAAAUUUUAGUGGUAAUGGUGAAUAUUUGAAUGAGAACUUUGAAGCUCGAAGAAGGGAAAGGUUCCAUGUGAAUGGCACUUGCACAUGGGUUACUCAAUCCUAAGAGACAAGGGAAGCCUCUUCAAUAGCAAGUCUAGCAUGAGCUUCAAAAGAGAAUCUGGUUACAAUUCUUGAACUAGGAUGUGAUGGCUAACGAUAACAUUAGAGAGUUUAAAGAUGUUAGUAGGGGUCUCAAAAAGAGUUAUCUUUCCUAUUUAAUGGCUUGCCCACCCUGGAAAAGACUAGCCAGAGGUAAGAUUUAGCGACUAAAAAAGUAGCACACAUUGCAUGGUUUCAGAUACACCCUUAAUGGCCUUGAAAAUUUCGAGGACCAAGUGCUAUCCGUGCCCAAUUGUACACAUAACUGCAUUAGAUCUCCAAGGUGAAUAGCCUCUACUCGAUGGAACAAUGUAUGUAAGAGAAGUCGACAAAAUAGAUCCAUAACCUUAGAAAAAUGAUUGGCUUUGAGGGUUGGGUAAGGGGGUCCUAGUCCUAAACCCAUCGAUUGUUGGUGUACUGCUCAAGCUACUUUUGUGGUGAGAAUAGGUCACCACAUGUUGGUUAAGGGAUGGACUGGGAACGGCUUCCUCCUCCCCCAAGCAACGAACAAUCGACUCAAAAUUGGUAAGGACAAGGUGAAUCUGAUUGUUUAAUUAAAACUAAGCAUUAUAAUGGUCCCUAUCAAUGCUCACGUAAUGUGAUUUUUGCCUAGUGCUCUAAAUGUUAAAGUGAAGAAAUUCAACCAAGUGUAGGUAAAUGGCAAGCAUAACUAUGACUCUCUUAAGGUAGCCAAAUGCCUUGUUAUCUAAUUAGUGACAUGCAUGAAUGAAUUAACGAGAUUCCCAUUAUCUCUAUCUAUUAUCCAGCGAAACCAUAGCCAAGGGAAAAGGCUUGCAAAAUAGUAGGGAAAGAAAACCUUAUUGAGAUUGACUCUAGUCUGAAUUUAUGAAAUGACUUGAGAGGUGUAAGAUAAGUGAAAACCCUCAAUCGAAAAUGAAAUACCACUACUUUUAACAUUAUUUUACUUAUUUUGUGAAUUAGAGGUAGGACCCUUUUUUUUGAACCCAAGGUCGACCUUGGUUGGUCGAUUUAGGUGAAAUACAUUGUCAGGUGAGGAGUUUGGUUAGGGUGACAUAUUUGUUAAAAGAUAAUACAGGUGUCCUAAAAUGAGCUCAACAAGAACAAAAAUCUCGUAUGGAACAAAAAGGUAAAAGCUCAUUUGAUUCUAGUACAAAUAUAAACUAUGAAAGUGUGGCCUAUCGAUCUUUUAGACCUUGAAAUUUAAAGCUAGUGGUAUAAGAAAAGUUACCUUAGGGAUAACUAGCUUAUGGCAACUAAGCAUUCAUAGCUAUGUUAUUUUUUUAUCCUUCAAUAUCAACUCUUCCUACAUUAAGAAGCAAAAUUCACCAAGUGUUUAGAUUGUUCACCCAUCAAUAAGGAACAUAAGAUAGUUUAGACAGUCAUAAGACAGGUUAGUUUUACCCUACUAUGACAGCAUUGUAAUAAUAAUUCAACCUAGUAUAAGAAGAACCAUUGAUUUGCACAAUUGGUCAUCGUGCUUGGUUGAAAAGCUAAUGACAUGAAACUACCAUGUGCAAAAUUAUGAUUGCAUGCCUCUAAGUCAAAAUCCAAGCUAAAAGUAAUACAAGCAUCUGUCACCUGAUUGUUGACCUAUAGUAUAGGCCUAUGGCCCUAAAGGGCACAUGUCAUAGGUGCAGCCUCUAUGGCAGAUAAACUACAUGGGCUCUUUGAAGCUCAAUUCCCACUAAAUGGCAAGUAGAAUCU
rnacentral:rRNA from 1 species